CUUUGCCAGACUGCACAAAGGGGAUGAUUUCACUUCUAGCCCAUCAUCAAAUACUCUCCAGGAGUUCGGUGAUGUUUGGCUUGCUGCCGCCGAGCGCCAGCUCAGCCUCAGCCCCAAGUCGCCGUCCCCUGAGGAGCUGACGGAACGCAGACAGGAGCGUAAGCGCAAGGUCUUGGUCAUAGCGCUCAACACAUAUGCCAAGCGAAACAACAUGCAGGCAUGCAAAAAAUCAUAAUCAGAGUAUUUAUGUUUGCUUGUGUUUUUGCUUAACCACCUUAAGUUGUGUUCGGGUUAUUAUAUGGAACUAAACGGCUGUCGUAGUUCAUUGUUUUAACUACUCAAGGUUGGCUAGAACAUCACACCCUAAUUAAGUGUUUUGCGGGUUAUGGAUGCAAAUCAUGCGAUUUGCUGCUGACCGAAUCUAUUAUACUAACAUAUGUCGUUUCUAUUUCAGCUCACUGAUUUAGAAGUCGUGGAAGAGAAAGAGAGGAACCAAGUCUAUGGACGUGGAGCACUAUAUGUGCACUCCAACUUUCUGGUGAAAGGUUCAGAUGGCAAACCUACUAUGUUCUUUGCUGAGAUGCAUCCUGACUGCACACAGGAAGAGGAUGUUGUCUGCUGCACUCCUUUGGAAGAAAACGACUAUGGUCAUUGUGUUGAGUGUGACGAUCGAGCAAAGGAGCUUAGGCAUCCCUCGGGCGGUGGCUACUUGGGUGGACAUGAUGAGAUGAUUUUUCACUUUGAGGAGCUGGACAGUGAUGAUGACUGUUUUAUGUGAAAGGAAUCUAUAUAUCCAACACAGAACCACAAACUAAUCUGUUUGGUCUUGGA